AGAGUUUGAUCCUGGCUCAGAAUCAACGCUGGCGGCGUGCCUCAGACAUGCAAGUCGAACGAUUAAAGCUCUCUUCGGAGAGUGCAUAGAGUGGCGCACGGGUGAGUAACACGUAAGUAAUCUACCCUCGAGUGGGGAAUAACGUCCGGAAACGGACGCUAAUACCGCAUAAUGCAGCGGCACCGCAAGGUGACAGUUGUUAAAGGAGAAAUUCGCUUGAGGAGGAGCUUGCGGCAGAUUAGCUAGUUGGUAAGGUAAUGGCUUACCAAGGCUACGAUCUGUAACCGGUCUAAGAGGACGGUCGGUCACACUGACACUGAAUAACGGGUCAGACUCCUACGGGAGGCAGCAGUCGGGAAUUUUGGGCAAUGGGGGAAACCCUGACCCAGCAACGCCGCGUGAAGGAUGAAGUAUUUCGGUAUGUAAACUUCGAAAGAAUAGGAAGAAUCAAUGACGGUACUAUUUAUAAGGUCCGGCUAACUACGUGCCAGCAGCCGCGGUAAUACGUAGGGACCAAGCGUUGUUCGGAUUUACUGGGCGUAAAGGGCGCGUAGGCGGCUUUGUAAGUCAUUUGUGAAAUCUCCGGGCUUAACUCGGAACGGCCAAGUGAUACUGCAAAGCUAGAGUGCAGAAGGGGCAAUCGGAAUUCUUGGUGUAGCGGUGAAAUGCGUAGAUAUCAAGAGGAACACCUGAGGUGAAGACGGGUUGCUGGGCUGACACUGACGCUGAGGCGCGAAAGCCAGGGGAGCAAACGGGAUUAGAUACCCCGGUAGUCCUGGCCCUAAACGAUGAAUACUUGG
rnacentral:rRNA from 1 species